GAAAUAAAUACAUGAAAUUUGGUGACAAUUUGAAAGGAGUAGGCCGCCAUUUUGGGGUCUUUCCACAUUUUCCCCAGCUGUGAACACUCUUCAACUCGGUGUUUACUUCAUACAGAGAGCUAGCUGAAAAUAAACACACUUCCCAAAGUGUCCAAUAACUUGUGUAGUUUUCCAAACUAUUAACUACUAUUAAAUCACAUUUGCAUGAGCAGAUAAUCAGACUAAAGUUAAAGCUUUAUUUAGUCUGUGGGCCUACUGCACUAAAAGCGGUUUAGAAAUUACAUUUGAUGCAAAUGCUGAGGAUAGUCGGCUAUAUAAUGGAAGGCUCAACAGCUGAAACAAAACUAAAGAUGCAACAGUGAAAAAAUAAUCGCCUGUGUCCUGGCAAAAAGUAGAAGGAAAAAAAAAAAAUCUACGCUCUACAAACGCUUCCUACGGUCUUCCAUGAUACCUACCUCCUGCUCCACUCUCAAACGUCACACCGACACGUGCUCAGGCUCUUUGUGCGCUCCAGCUGAACACGUGACCCGCUGCUCACCUCCGAGACGCUCAGGUGUGUCAAGCAGGUCUUGAGAAGAUGUUGGUUACAUUCCAACAGUGUUGAAGACCAGGAUGAGACUCUUGCAGUGGUGUCAUGGCAGUGUGACUCUGCAUGCAGCUGUCAGAACUGUCCACUAGAGGGAGACAAACACCUGUAACGUAUCCACGCGCGCGCGCGUUCUCUGGAGACUGUACAGAAAACCCUCUGCUGUUGCAUCAUUUAAUUUCCUCCGGCUUGAUGACGUUUGUAGGGCUGAAAUAGAAAUUAUGCAACUGGCAGUUUUUUCUCAUCAUUUGUUUUGUGUUUUAAUGCUUUCUGUGUAGAAUUAUAAGAAAGGAGGAAGAUUUGUAAUGACAAAUUAUUAAUUUUUAUAAAUUUUUAUAAUUUUUUUUUUAAUUAAUUAAUUUCAUUGUUUGUAGAGCUGAAAUACUUCCAUAUAAAAACUUCCUGAAAUAUUUCCAAAUAUUCGCUGGUUUCAGCGUCACUGAUGAUUGAUUGUUACCUGACUUAUUAAUUGGAUCCAUCCAAGCAUGUACUUUUGUAAGUUAUUUCAGCUUGAGCUCUCAAUUGUUGUGAUGUGCAUUUGUUCACCUUUUGUUUGAGUUUAAAUGUCAGUGAUGGAAUGUAUCUACGUAAUUUUUCUAAAGUAAUGUACAUAUAAUUUUGAGAUACUUAUGGCUACUUUAUCUAAAUGUUUCCAUUUUCUGCUCCUUUAUACUUCCAGAGUACAAAUCCAAGGUCCUUAUUUGAGUAUUUCCAUUUUAUGCAACUAUACACUUCUACCGCAGAGCUUCCUGGAGACAUAUAUUGUACAUUCAACUCCACUCCACUACAUUUAUGUGACAGCUUUUCUUACGAGUUACUUUUGAGAUUACAAGUGCUUAGUUUUUCUUUUAACGCAACGUAAAAAGUACAAUACUUGCCUCCAACAUGUAGUGAAGUGAAAGUAGAGUGAGCCUGCUCAAGUAUUUAGAUCUCUGCUUAAGAUAUACUUGAGUACUGUACUCAAGUAGAUGUUCAUAGUUACAUUCCAUCACAGACUUUUUGUUUUCAUGAACUAAAUGAUGUAUUGAUAAAAUAAAUAUAACUAAUCAUCGCAGGCCUAAGUGACAGGUCAACAAGUGCACACAGUUGUUGCUGAUGCCAAACUCUUAUGUGUAUCUAUUUGAGGAAAAGCCACCCCACAGUUCUUCAGACAUUAUUUCAGAGCUUAUUUUAACCACAGGAAGACAAAUCCUGAUAUGUAGCGGUGUCGACAUGAUCCUCUGGUAUUCAGCAAAUUCAGCAGAAGUCAUUUUGUAUUUGUAGGCAGAUCAUCAUGAGGCAGCACAGCAGAACUGCAGCUCUUGCAGCAGGUUGCAUCAGUCUGGUGAGACGAGGCCCGUCUGUGCUGUGAGGAGCGCCCCCUCCCAUCAACAUACAGCGGCUCUUGGCAUGACUAACACAAGGUUAAACCACCGUCACAUUUGAGUGUAUGGAGCUCAUAUUUACCAACAGCCAAGGCCAGCCAUGUGACACAGUCCGUUCAGGUAUCAGGGAGUGUUACUGAUAAAACUGCUUUACAGCACUGAAUCAGAUGGAACUGCCUCAGCCUUGGCCAACAGAUAAGGCUGUUAAUACAAAACUAGAGAUACAGGAGGGUGCAGCCAACAGUCGUCACUGCAGACCUUCAGACUGAGAAAAACAAAACAAUACAAUAACCAGACAGACAAUUGUGUAGUUCAAAGCAUUUUAUUGCAUUUUUUUUUUUUUUUUUUUUUUAGAAAAACAAUACAAAAUUCUGUAGCAACUGUCAUAAAUGUUGCUGAGUGAACUGCAAUCAUUCACAUGGUACAGUAAAGUGCUUAUUUUAAAUCAAAAUAUUUUUUUGUACUUUAAAAAGGAUGCAUUUAUUUCAGAUUACAUCCGAUGAACACAAUGGGCUUGGGGAGACUCAGACAGUGUUAAAAUCAGGUGUCAAUCCUCCAAAGAAAAGAUUGAAGACCGUAUCAACAUAGACAGAAGUAACCCCACACCAUGUCCAUGGAAUAAACUUAUAAAACAUUUGAUCAAUGUUGCUGGAUUGUAAAUGCUUUUGCCUGUGGGCUACAUUCAAAUUGUGGGGAGGCUGAUGAUGGGACUGUCCAUUUGAAUGAAUGACUGAGUUUUAACACUCCCUUACUUCAAAAUGACAGUAUAAAAAUUGUGAGGCUUAAGGAUAUCAUUUUGUCUCCCUUCCCCCCCCCCCAAUAAAAGGCAGUCCAAAAAGCUACUGCCAUUUGACAAGAAGUAGAAAUGGUCAUGACCACAAAAACUCGUAUUAUACCGCUCAGGAUAUUACAGAGUAUGGCCAAAGUCUGUGCGUAUCUGAGUAUCCAACCCUAUCAAAAAAGUAGGGACCAACUUGUAUGAUGCUCAAAAAAAAAAAAAAAAAAAAAAAAAAAGGGGGGGGGGUGGGGGGGGCGGGGGGAGAAAAAGGCAGAAUACUGAACGAUAUUGGUAAUUUUGAAAACCCCAAGAUUGCCUUGAUCAUCAGUGUAAUGGUUUGAGAUUACUGAUAGCAAAGUAGUUUCCCAAAUGGAGAAGAAUCAGCUGCAUACACAAAUUCAAGUAAGUCUUAUUAUAAGACAUAAACCCCCAUAACUAUGCAUCUGUAGAAAGGUAUUUUAGAACUAUUACAGUGUCCUAUUAUCAGCAUAAUGGGUCCUUUGACACCAAGGGAGCCAUUUCCAGAGUACCGUCGCUGCAGUGCUGGCAACAGGACAUGGACAAUCAGAAGUCCGCACUUCUCACUGCUAGGUGAUGGAUCAUAUGUUCAAUAUCAUGACUUGAACCCUCUUUGGUGAAAUGGCUACAGUGUUGUGAGACCUCAUCACCUGUCCAUUACCUGUCAGUUUUAGAAUGAGCUUAAUGAACUUGAACAACAACAACAAAAAAAAAAAAAAAUUAUUGCCAACUCUUACAUAAAAAAAUAAAAC